GGGUUGUGAGGUUAAGCGACUAAGCGUACACGGUGGAUGCCCUGGCAGUCAGAGGCGAUGAAGGGCGUGCUAAUCUGCGAUAAGCGCCGGUAAGGUGAUAUGAACCGUUAUAACCGGCGAUACCCGAAUGGGGAAACCCAGUGUGAUUCGUCACACUAUCAUUAACUGAAUCCAUAGGUUAAUGAGGCGAACCGGGGGAACUGAAACAUCUAAGUACCCCGAGGAAAAGAAAUCAACCGAGAUUCCCCCAGUAGCGGCGAGCGAACGGGGAGGAGCCCAGAGCCUGAAUCAGCAUGUGUGUUAGUGGAAGCGUCUGGAAAGGCGCGCGAUACAGGGUGACAGCCCCGUACACAAAAGCGCAUGUGCUGUGAGCUCGAUGAGUAGGGCGGGACACGUGGUAUCCUGUCUGAAUAUGGGGGGACCAUCCUCCAAGGCUAAAUACUCCUGACUGACCGAUAGUGAACCAGUACCGUGAGGGAAAGGCGAAAAGAACCCCGGCGAGGGGAGUGAAAAAGAACCUGAAACCGUGUACGUACAAGCAGUGGGAGCACCCUUCGGGGUGUGACUGCGUACCUUUUGUAUAAUGGGUCAGCGACUUAUAUUCUGUAGCAAGGUUAACCGUAUAGGGGAGCCGGAGGGAAACCGAGUCUUAAUUGGGCGUUAAGUUGCAGGGUAUAGACCCGAAACCCGGUGAUCUAGCCAUGGGCAGGUUGAAGGUUGGGUAACACUAACUGGAGGACCGAACCGACUAAUGUUGAAAAAUUAGCGGAUGACCUGUGGCUGGGGGUGAAAGGCCAAUCAAACCGGGAGAUAGCUGGUUCUCCCCGAAAGCUAUUUAGGUAGCGCCUCGUGAAUUCAUCUCCGGGGGUAGAGCACUGUUUCGGCUAGGGGGCCAUCCCGGCUUACCAACCCGAUGCAAACUGCGAAUACCGGAGAAUGUUAUCACGGGAGACACACGGCGGGUGCUAACGUCCGUCGUGAAGAGGGAAACAACCCAGACCGCCAGCUAAGGUCCCAAAGUCAUGGUUAAGUGGGAAACGAUGUGGGAAGGCCCAGACAGCCAGGAUGUUGGCUUAGAAGCAGCCAUCAUUUAAAGAAAGCGUAAUAGCUCACUGGUCGAGUCGGCCUGCGCGGAAGAUGUAACGGGGCUAAACCAUGCACCGAAGCUGCGGCAGCGAACGUAUCACCCAAGACAACUUUACGGAGUUGACGAUUGACGGAGCGAAGCGACGUCAAAGCGUUCAUUAAAGUCGAGUUGGCUUAGGGAUACGUUCGUUGGGUAGGGGAGCGUUCUGUAAGCCUGUGAAGGUGUGUCGUGAGGCAUGCUGGAGGUAUCAGAAGUGCGAAUGCUGACAUAAGUAACGAUAAAGCGGGUGAAAAGCCCGCUCGCCGGAAGACCAAGGGUUCCUGUCCAACGUUAAUCGGGGCAGGGUGAGUCGACCCCUAAGGCGAGGCCGAAAGGCGUAGUCGAUGGGAAACGGGUUAAUAUUCCCGUACUUGGUGUUACUGCGAAGGGGGGACGGAGAAGGCUAUGUUGGCCGGGCGACGGUUGUCCCGGUUUAAGCGUGUAGGUGUGUGUUCCAGGUAAAUCCGGUUCACUUUAACACUGAGGCGUGACGACGAGGCACUACGGUGCUGAAGCAACAAAUGCCCUGCUUCCAGGAAAAGCCUCUAAGCAUCAGGUAACACGAAAUCGUACCCCAAACCGACACAGGUGGUCAGGUAGAGAAUACCAAGGCGCUUGAGAGAACUCGGGUGAAGGAACUAGGCAAAAUGGUGCCGUAACUUCGGGAGAAGGCACGCUGACACGUAGGUGAAGUGAUUUACUCACGGAGCUGAAGUCAGUCGAAGAUACCAGCUGGCUGCAACUGUUUAUUAAAAACACAGCACUGUGCAAACACGAAAGUGGACGUAUACGGUGUGACGCCUGCCCGGUGCCGGAAGGUUAAUUGAUGGGGUCAGCGUAAGCGAAGCUCCUGAUCGAAGCCCCGGUAAACGGCGGCCGUAACUAUAACGGUCCUAAGGUAGCGAAAUUCCUUGUCGGGUAAGUUCCGACCUGCACGAAUGGCGUAAUGAUGGCCAGGCUGUCUCCACCCGAGACUCAGUGAAAUUGAACUCGCUGUGAAGAUGCAGUGUACCCGCGGCAAGACGGAAAGACCCCGUGAACCUUUACUAUAGCUUGACACUGAACAUUGAGCCUUGAUGUGUAGGAUAGGUGGGAGGCUUUGAAGUGUGGACGCCAGUCUGCAUGGAGCCGACCUUGAAAUACCACCCUUUAAUGUUUGAUGUUCUAACGUGGACCCGUAAUCCGGGUUGCGGACAGUGUCUGGUGGGUAGUUUGACUGGGGCGGUCUCCUCCUAAAGAGUAACGGAGGAGCACGAAGGUUGGCUAAUCCUGGUCGGACAUCAGGAGGUUAGUGCAAUGGCAUAAGCCAGCUUGACUGCGAGCGUGACGGCGCGAGCAGGUGCGAAAGCAGGUCAUAGUGAUCCGGUGGUUCUGAAUGGAAGGGCCAUCGCUCAACGGAUAAAAGGUACUCCGGGGAUAACAGGCUGAUACCGCCCAAGAGUUCAUAUCGACGGCGGUGUUUGGCACCUCGAUGUCGGCUCAUCACAUCCUGGGGCUGAAGUAGGUCCCAAGGGUAUGGCUGUUCGCCAUUUAAAGUGGUACGCGAGCUGGGUUUAGAACGUCGUGAGACAGUUCGGUCCCUAUCUGCCGUGGGCGCUGGAGAACUGAGGGGGGCUGCUCCUAGUACGAGAGGACCGGAGUGGACGCAUCACUGGUGUUCGGGUUGUCAUGCCAAUGGCACUGCCCGGUAGCUAAAUGCGGAAGAGAUAAGUGCUGAAAGCAUCUAAGCACGAAACUUGCCCCGAGAUGAGUUCUCCCUGAGACUUAGAGUCUCCUGAAGGAACGUUGAAGACGACGACGUUGAUAGGCCGGGUGUGUAAGCGCAGCGAUGCGUUGAGCUAACCGGUACUAAUGAACCGUGAGGCUUAACCUUACA
rnacentral:rRNA from 1 species